rnacentral:lncRNA from 1 species
AAUCUGUGCUUCCUCCCGAGCGCAGGAGGUUCCCCUGCCGCGGCUGCCGGCCCCAGGACCUGGAUGGAGAUCGCCCGAGGAGAAUCCGUUCUCCUGGUCACACUACAGAGGCCUAGGGGGACGAGACCUGCGGGGCCUGUCCGGACCCGAGGCGGCGCUCGGGAUGGUCUCCCGUGGAGCAGAAACGCCGUUUCCUGGGUGAGGACUCUUAGUCGCCCACCUGGACGGCGGCGGAGACAUCCGCGCCACCUGCUCCCCAAAUCCACCUGGACGCGCACUCAGCAGGGGUGCGGGGGAGGGGCUUCCUUCCUUGGGGGCCUCGCCUAGAGCCCCCGCCCCUGGGAUGCCCAGACCCCUUUCCCCCUAGCAUGCCCAGCCCCCCAGCACGCCCACCCCUCCGGCACACCUACCCCCACCCAGCACACUCAACCCCGCAGCACACUCACCCCCAGCAUGCCCACCCCCCAAGCACACCCCUUUCCCCCAACACACCCAUCCCCCAGCACGCCCACCACACCUCCCAGCACACCCACCCCCGCCCCUACCUGUCCUGCGGUGUGUGGGGCGGGGGGGGCGGGGGGACUCGGACGACGCCCACGGGGCACACGUGGGCCCUCCUGUGCUCUCCGCACUCCCUCCCGUGCUUCCGCAAGCCUGCGCACUCCACUGGGGAUUACGGUCCAGCCCACCCGGAGGACCCUAUUCAAGCCCGAAGCGCCCCCCUUCCCCUUCCCAGCGCCGCGUACUGCGGCGGCCUUGUUUGAUUACCUGCCUUUCCAUUUCUUCUGUAUUUACAACCCUCCCGACUCCCGGGGAGAGGGCGGCAUAGGCAGCCAAUCAGGAUGCAGUCGUCUCUAAAGGUCAGGGUGACACACAUUUCCCAAGAUCAUUCACGGACUUCGCCCUUCGAUGCCUUGUUCUCAUGACAAAACCUGGCUGCCAGCACUUAAUGUGAUUUCCCCCCAUCUCUGGCAACUGAGAGAAUAAAAAACUGAACAUAAAAAUUAACUCUUUUAUUAUAGUGUAGUGGUCAGUCUUAUGUGAAUAAAAUUCUUCUCAUCUAGGACCUGUCUCUCACCUUAAGAAGGAACAUGGCAUGAAGUGAGUUGGUCUGCAUCCUUUGUUUUCCAACCAUUUUUUCCUUCAUUAUUUUAUUUUUUAUUUUUAAAUUUAUUUUUAUUUAGAGACAGGGUCUCCUAUGUUGGCCAGGCUAGUCUUGAACUUCUGGCCUCAAGCAAUUCUCCUGCCUCAGCCACCAGAGUAGCUGGGAUUACGGGCAUGAGCCACAGUGCCUGGAUUUCCUCAUAAUUUUGAAUAAUUGCAUUUUUUCCUUUAGCUGUCAUCAUACAGACCAACUACCAAUCGCACCCAGCAGAAAAUGGACCCGUUUGGAAUUCAAUGAUUUUGCAAUCUUGAAUUUCAUGGAAGGCCAGAGGUGUGGCUCAGGGAUAGGAAGGGGUAGGGAAGGACAGGAACACACAUGCCUCGGCGGUCUCUUUCAGAUAAGGUUUGUGAGCCUUGACAUACACUGAAACUUCUCCCAUUCCCAUCCUUAAAAAAAUCUGUGCUUUCAUCAGUAUUUCUUUUUAAAAAUUAAUUUUUAUGGUCCGUAGUAGGUGUAUCUAUUUAUGGGGUACAUGAGAUAUUUUGAUACAGGCACACAAUGUGUAAUAAUCACAUUAGGGUAAACAGGGUAUCCAUCACCUCAAGCAUUUAUCAUUUCUUUGUGUUCUUUCAUCGUUAUCUCUAUGCUCGAAACACAAGAUGAUUCUCAGUUUCACGCUAAAGUCCUAAAAACACAAACUCCCUGCCUCUGCCAUGAGAAGCAUGGAGUGCAGCUUGAGGGAAACCCGUCUGUCAAUAGACGUGACGUGGCGUGUUAUUCCCACAUCCAUGCUUAGUCUGUCCAGAAUUCCUUCUUUUCAUCCCUUGAACUCUUCUCCACCCUGCAAAUUCCCCAUUCUCCAUUCACAUCUGGUGGGUUCCAUAGCCAUGCACUUAACUGCUUUUGCCUCAUUAAGUCCUAGAAUAAAGGGCCUUUCAGAUGGGAGGGUGAGUCCAGUCCUGGAGGAGAGGCCUCCAGUUCCCACAGGGCCUGACUGCCUGACAAACCCAGCCUGGCUCUGGCCUUCAUGUAGGUGUUCGUUUGUGGGGCAGCCUGGAGAGUCCGAUGAAAAAUGAAUUCAUCUGUAAUCAGCAAACCAGGAUGAAGGUGAAGUUAAAGUGGAGAGGAGCUAGUUCAGGUCGGCAUCUGCAGCAGCAGAGGCCGGUUUGGGAUUUGUCCCAAGCUCAAUAAUAACCCUAGACAAGACACCAAAAUCAUUUGGAGAGCUGUUUUUCCCUGUCAGUUUAUGACUGGCCACGUCUGGCCAAGAAAAAGAAGGUGGAGGAAGCCCGCCAGGAAUGACUUCCAGGCGCGCAAGGCUGAGUCUGAACUGAAGCCGACCAGAAAUUGCAAUUAGUGUGGAAAUAAAGAUCUUUUCAGAAAAGAAAAUGGCCCCGGCACUCAUGUUUUAUUGUCUCUCUCAUCCCCUGGCACCUGCCCAGACAGCCCUGAGACAGCCUCUUGGCUCACAGACUUGUGAAUACCCAGGCAGGCCAAGGGGGAGCAGUACCCAUCCUCACCUGCUUCUAGAAGGUGUGAGCUGCCUGUGGUGAAGGGAAAGCCAGGCCCCCCGAGGCCGGAGACCACCGGAGCUCCUUAGCAGGGAGGAGGAAGAUCUGCUCCCCUCAGAGGCUACAUACAUUUGCACAGUUUGUUGCAGACCCCCAGAGGCAAAUUCUUAAGCCAAAUCCUAGGGGGUUACAAGAUGGUGUCCCUGGGACAUCCCCCUUUUUGUGAGAAUGCACUAAUUACCUACAAAGUCAGUGUUCUCUGCAAGAAGGCUGAGAACCCUGAGCAAAGUCAGAGGACACAAACGCUUUUUUUUUUUUUUGGCAAAAAAGAGGAUGGGGUGUUUUUCAUUCUCAUCCUAAUUUUGUUUACAGAGUAGGGGUGGAAAGGCAUGCUAACCUGCAUUCCGUUUAUUUUAAAGAUACGGCAGCAUUUGAUAAUUCAGCAUCGGAGCAUUACCAGAGAGUGGACUGGAGGCUAACCGCAUUGCAUGUGCGGUUUUAUUUUCUCUCACAGCAGCUCCACACGGUGGGUAUUAAUACCACUCCAGUUCGCAGAAGAGGAACUGGAGGCUCAGAGAGGUUAAGUAACUUUCCCAAGGCUCAUGAGUGGUAGCGUGGGAUUCAAACCAGGUGAUUCUGAGCUGCAACCCAGCAGUUCUUGGUUCGACCCCUUGCGAGGCCAGAGAAGCCUGAACGCAGGCAGGAUGAAACCCAAGCCCCCAACAGGGUCAGAAGGGGGAAAAUAAUUCCCCCGAGGUCAUCUGCUAUUAAGUGUCUGAGUUGGAUUUGACUUCCUGGGACAGGACAGGGAAGGUUUGGGAAUUGGGAAGGAGUCAAAAAAUUCUGGAUAAUUAGGGUCUGCCGGGAGGGUAGGAAGUGUGGGCAGCUGGGGGCCGAUGUGUGUUUACGAGUGAGUGGGAGAGACGGGGUGGGCUGGCAGUGGAACAAAAAGUUCCAUUCUUCCAGUCAGUCCACAGUUUAUGUUGAUGCUACCCUCAAGAUAUAUCUUCAGCCACCUUUUAUCACCUCCAUGGAUGUAGCCGGCGACCACCAAACCUACCUAGGGUGACUGCAGUCUCCUGGUGGCUCUGCCCACUUCCACCCUUGCCCUCCUUCCUUCUGGGCUGUCAGACCUUUGCGUUCCUCUGCCAAACCCUCCAGGAUUCCCCACUACCCCCGACCCCGCCCCACUGCAUGAACUGCCUCCUGCUCCCUCCCACACCUGCCUGACCUCACUCCUUGGCUCUGCUUCAUUCUGCUCUUGCCCCAGGGCCCUUGCACUUGGUGAUCUUUCUGCCCUCAAUGCUUCUUGUCUUCACUCAGGCACAGGCUGGGCCCAUGGCAGUGUGUUAUCAGAACUUAUUAACAUUACUGUCACUAAAGUUGGUAUACACUCCCCCGCUGCUAAUUAGACUGGCUUUAAAAUUUAAAAACAAAAAAUAACUUCAGUAAGGCAUUCCCUGGCCUCUUUAUUGGAAAUUUCAACCACCCCUGACACCUCCUAUCUCCCUUCUGUUUUCUUUUUCCCCCUGGUGUGACCCCUAACUUACACUUAAUUACUUAUCUCAUUCACCUUCUAUUUCCCCCGCUAGAAUGCGAGCCCCAUGAGAGCAGGGGUUUUUGUCUGUGUGGUUUGGUUGGUUUCUUCCAUCCCGGUACCUAGAACAGUGCCUGGGACACAUCAUGAACUUAAUAAAUAUUUGUUGAACAAAUGAAUGAAUGCAGGAAGCCCCAC